rnacentral:rRNA from 1 species
UAGGGUUUGAUCCUGGCUCAGGAUGAACGCUGGCGGCGUGCCUAACACAUGCAAGUCGAGCGAGAAGGCUUUGACGGAAUCUUCGGAUGACGGAUAAGCUAGAGAGCGGCGGACGGGUGAGUAACGCGUGGGUAACCUGCCCUAUGGAGGGGGAUAACUAAGAGAAAUCUUAGCUAAUACCGCAUAAGCGCACAGUAUCGCAUGAUACAGUGUGAAAAACUCCGGUGCCAUAGGAUGGACCCGCGUCAGAUUAGCUAGUUGGUGAGAUAAAAGCUCACCAAGGCGACGAUCUGUAGCCGACCUGAGAGGGUGAUCGGCCACAUUGGGACUGAGACACGGCCCAAACUCCUACGGGAGGCAGCAGUGGGGGAUAUUGCACAAUGGGCGAAAGCCUGAUGCAGCAACGCCGCGUGAAGGAAGACGGUUUUCGGAUUGUAAACUUCUAUCAGCAGGGAAGAAAAUGACGGUACCUGACUAAGAAGCCCCGGCUAACUACGUGCCAGCAGCCGCGGU